rnacentral:piRNA from 1 species
UUGUCAACCGAUGCAGUUACUGUCUCCAGU